UUAAUUUUCUUAUUUUCAAUUUUAUGUGAUAUUAAAAUGCUACCUGCACCUAAAUAAUAAAUCGUGGCCGAGGAAUUGAGAGAACGGGUUUACCUUACUUGCGAAUUGUUCGGGUAAACAGGUUGUAAAGAUUCAUAUAAGUACAUACAUAUGUACUACGUACGUUUAUUCGCACAAAUGAAUUAAAUUGAUUGAAAGCGCAUUGACACCGUACGCAUUUCGCUCUAGUAUGUAUACUUAUGGCUUUAUGUCGGUAUGAAAGUAAUCGCCUGUUCUGAAACUGUUUCUGAAACUAAUUAAACUUUAAUUUGAAAGUAAUAAAAACGGAAAUUCUUGAAAUAAGCUUUAUUUGAGAUAAAUAAUUUGAUAAGAAAUUUAUCAUUAAAUUGGUUAAUGUUACAUUUGCGAUUUAAAAAAAAAAAAGAGGAAAUUAUGGUAACGCUGUCCAAAUGUAAUUUUGAUCGAAACAGCUGAUCUCCAAAUCGGUUUGAGUUCGAGAGGUGUUUGUACACUCUAAGUGUCGUAUUUUUUAUUUUGAGAAUUCCCUCUUAAUACUUAAAAAAUUACAAACGUACAAUAAAAAAUAUAUAUAUAUAUUAAUUUUCACAUAUAUGACUCCUUCUUUCAGGACCACCAAUAGAUGUACCGCCAGAACCAUCCACAAAGCGAAGGAUCAUACAGAAGGACUAGAGGACGAAGAAGACAAAGAAGCAUUUUUACCAUUUAAAUCACCAUCAUAAAAUGUAAAAACUUAAUUUACUUAAUAAUGCGUCGGUCCUCUGGAUUGAACUAACCGUUUGUGUGUAUUACAAACAAACAAAACUGAAGACAACUCUUAUGUACACAAUGCUAAUGUAAUACGUACUAUGUAAUGUGCUAUACAUUUUGAACUAUGUAUUUGUAUUUGCAAAAUAAUAUGUAGAAGUGUAUUUGCAGAAAUAACAAAAACCCAAAGAUAAAUGUUAACAAAUUUUAAACUAGCAAACUUUAAAAAUUAAAAUUGUUUAAAGAUAUACUUCCGUCAUCACGAACAAAUAAAAAAAUAAAACAAUAAUAAUAAAACUACAAUAGACAAAAGACAAAAACCAAACGGCCGCGAGGCCCAAAAACGAAAAUAUGUGCUUUAGUUUAUUGAUGGAUACAAACAAAAUUUUAUUCAAAGAAUGUCUGCCAACAAAUGCAAAUGAAAUGAAGAACUGCAGCGCAAAUGUAAUAAACAAACAUAUAAAUUCAUAAGAGAACCUGAGUCCUAAGCAAACAUCAACACACCCAAUUCAGUACGCCAAUUUACACAAACAUUAAUAAAAAUAAAGGAAAAUAAUUGAGGUUUGCUUGCGAUGCAUAAGCAUCAUGAUUUACAAAAAAA